AUGUCAUCCUUUAAGCUUCCACGCGGCUUGUGUCGACAUAUUAAUGGUUUGCUACGCAAAUUUUGGUGGUGAUCAAACAAAUGUGAAAGAAAAACAGCCUGUCCCUUGGGAGGUCAUGUCAGAACCCAAAUCCAUUGGAGGUAUGGGUUUCGAGAUAUUGAGUUUUUUAACUUGGAGGUCUUGACACGCCAAGUGUGGCACCUCCUUUAGGACCCCAACUCUCUAAAUGCUCAUAUUCUCAAAUAUGUUUGUUAUCCUUCGAGCUCGAUCCUAGAAGCGGAAUUAGGGAGGUCUCCAUCGCAAGUAUGGCGAUCUAUUUUAGAGGGGAGAGACACCCUCAAGCUUGGUCUCGUCAACAGGAUUGGCAAUAGUGAUGACACACAUAUCUGGCAUGAUAAUUGCAUUCCUCGUGAUUUUAUGCUUCAUCAGGUAUCCCUACUCCUCCUCAAAUGGUGUCGGAUUUAA
rnacentral:rRNA from 1 species